rnacentral:rRNA from 1 species
GACUACACAUGCAAGUCGAGCGGUAGCACAGAGAGCUUGCUCUCGGGUGACGAGCGGCGGACGGGUGAGUAAUGUCUGGGAAACUGCCUGAUGGAGGGGGAUAACUACUGGAAACGGUAGCUAAUACCGCAUAAUGUCGCAAGACCAAAGUGGGGGACCUUCGGGCCUCAUGCCAUCAGAUGUGCCCAGAUGGGAUUAGCUAGUAGGUGGGGUAACGGCUCACCUAGGCGACGAUCCCUAGCUGGUCUGAGAGGAUGACCAGCCACACUGGAACUGAGACACGGUCCAGACUCCUACGGGAGGCAGCAGUGGGGAAUAUUGCACAAUGGGCGCAAGCCUGAUGCAGCCAUGCCGCGUGUGUGAAGAAGGCCUUCGGGUUGUAAAGCACUUUCAGCGGGGAGGAAGGCGUUAAGGUUAAUAACCUUGUCGAUUGACGUUACCCGCAGAAGAAGCACCGGCUAACUCCGUGCCAGCAGCCGCGGUAAUACGGAGGGUGCAAGCGUUAAUCGGAAUUACUGGGCGUAAAGCGCACGCAGGCGGUCUGUCAAGUCGGAUGUGAAAUCCCCGGGCUCAACCUGGGAACUGCAUUCGAAACUGGCAGGCUAGAGUCUUGUAGAGGGGGGUAGAAUUCCAGGUGUAGCGGUGAAAUGCGUAGAGAUCUGGAGGAAUACCGGUGGCGAAGGCGGCCCCCUGGACAAAGACUGACGCUCAGGUGCGAAAGCGUGGGGAGCAAACAGGAUUAGAUACCCUGGUAGUCCACGCCGUAAACGAUGUCGAUUUGGAGGUUGUGCCCUUGAGGCGUGGCUUCCGGAGCUAACGCGUUAAAUCGACCGCCUGGGGAGUACGGCCGCAAGGUUAAAACUCAAAUGAAUUGACGGGGGCCCGCACAAGCGGUGGAGCAUGUGGUUUAAUUCGAUGCAACGCGAAGAACCUUACCUGGUCUUGACAUCCACAGAACUUUCCAGAGAUGGAUUGGUGCCUUCGGGAACUGUGAGACAGGUGCUGCAUGGCUGUCGUCAGCUCGUGUUGUGAAAUGUUGGGUUAAGUCCCGCAACGAGCGCAACCCUUAUCCUUUGUUGCCAGCGGUCCGGCCGGGAACUCAAAGGAGACUGCCAGUGAUAAACUGGAGGAAGGUGGGGAUGACGUCAAGUCAUCAUGGCCCUUACGACCAGGGCUACACACGUGCUACAAUGGCAUAUACAAAGAGAAGCGACCUCGCGAGAGCAAGCGGACCUCAUAAAGUAUGUCGUAGUCCGGAUUGGAGUCUGCAACUCGACUCCAUGAAGUCGGAAUCGCUAGUAAUCGUAGAUCAGAAUGCUACGGUGAAUACGUUCCCGGGCCUUGUACACACCGCCCGUCACACCAUGGGAGUGGGUUGCAAAAGAAGUAGGUAGCU